rnacentral:rRNA from 1 species
CCUACGGGGUGCAGCAGUGAGGAAUAUUGGUCAAUGGGCGCAAGCCUGAACCAGCCAAGUCGCGUGAGGGAAGACGGCCCUACGGGUUGUAAACCUCUUUUGCCGGGGAGCAAGCCUGAGCACGUGUGCCCAGGCGGAGAGUACCCGGAGAAAAAGCAUCGGCUAACUCCGUGCCAGCAGCCGCGGUAAUACGGAGGAUGCGAGCGUUAUCCGGAUUUAUUGGGUUUAAAGGGUGCGCAGGCGGGCUGUUAAGCCGGCGGUAAAAAUUCAGGGCUCAACCCGGGCCUUGCAGCGCGAACUGGCGUGCUUGAGUCCGCGGAAAGCAGGCGGAAUUCGUCGUGUAGCGGUGAAAUGCUUAGAGAUGACGAAGAACCCCGAUUGCGAAGGCAGCUUGCUGCAGCGGAACUGACGCUGAUGCUCGAAAGCGUGGGGAGCAAACAGGAUUAGAUACCCCAGUAGUC